AUGAACGCUGGCGGCGUGCCUAAUACAUGCAAGUCGAGCGAACGGACGAGAAGCUUGCCUCUCUGAUGUUAGCGGCGGACGGGUGAGUAACACGUGGAUAACCUACCUAUAAGACUGGGAUAACUUCGGGAAACCGGAGCUAAUACCGGAUAAUAUUUUGAACCGCAUGGUUCAAAAGUGAAAGACGGUCUUGCUGUCACUUAUAGAUGGAUCCGCGCUGCAUUAGCUAGUUGGUAAGGUAACGGCUUACCAAGGCAACGAUGCAUAGCCGACCUGAGAGGGUGAUCGGCCACACUGGAACUGAGACACGGUCCAGACUCCUACGGGAGGCAGCAGUAGGGAAUCUUCCGCAAUGGGCGAAAGCCUGACGGAGCAACGCCGCGUGAGUGAUGAAGGUCUUCGGAUCGUAAAACUCUGUUAUUAGGGAAGAACAUAUGUGUAAGUAACUGUGCACAUCUUGACGGUACCUAAUCAGAAAGCCACGGCUAACUACGUG
rnacentral:rRNA from 1 species